GCCUCUGUGGUCUGUGGUAAGACACUCCCGAUUUACUCAUAGUGAGGAACGUGAGAAUUGGGAGGUCGUGGGUUCGAAUCCUCCGGAGGCA